rnacentral:rRNA from 1 species
GCUUGUCUCAAAGAUUAAGCCAUGCAUGUCUAAGUAUAAGCGACUAUACUGUGAAACUGCGAAUGGCUCAUUAAAUCAGUUAUGGUUUAUUUGAUGGUACCUACUACUUGGAUAACCGUAGUAAUUCUAGAGCUAAUACAUGCAGGAAGACCCGACUCACGAAGGGUUGUAUUUAUUAGAUAAGAAACCUUCCCCUUUGGGUUGCGUGCCGAGUCACAAUAACUGCUCGAAUCGCAUGGCUUCACGCCGGCGAUGGUUCAUUCAAAUUUCUGCCCUAUCAGCUUUCGAUGGUACGGUAUUGGCCUACCAUGGUGACCACGGGUAACGGGGGAUUAGGGUUCGAUUCCGGAGAGGGCGCCUGAGAAAUGGCGACCACUUCUAAGGAAGGCAGCAGG